AAUCAACGCUGGCGGCGUGCCUAACACAUGCAAGUCGAACGCGAAAGCCUCGCGAAGGGCAAGUAGAGUGGCAAACGGGUGAGUAACACGUGGGUGACCUGCCGUCGAGUGGGGGAUAACGUUCCGAGAGGAACGCUAAUACCGCAUAAAAUGCUGCCGUUUAAGAGGUGGACAUCAAAGCUGGGGGACCGCAAGGCCUGGCGCUUGACGGA
rnacentral:rRNA from 1 species